rnacentral:misc_RNA from 1 species
UUUUAGUUCGCUCAUCAUGCACUCUUUACUGCGGCGCAGUUAACUCAACAUGGACGGUUCGGCGCGAGAAACUGUCCGCAGAAAACCGUGAUUUUCGUAGGAUUGUCGGCUUUGUAUCUUCACCCAGGCGACGCAGCACGGGAUUUGGAGAUAAGUGGAACCGACGGGAAGACAAGCCGUGUCUUGGCACGGUUGAUCGAGACUGCAGUAAUCAGCCCUGUCUCGUGAGGAUCCUGGCUGUCGGUGGUCAUCAUGGGGGAUUGCGGAGGGUUCUAUGAUCAGGAAGUACCCUACAUGGACCCACAGACUGUUCCCGAUGUAGAUGAAUCUUCAUCCAGUGGUUACUGUGAUGAUUAUAGUUGUGGAUAUCGUACAGAACGCCACGACAAACAGACCAGUAACUGUUGCUUGGACAAAGACUGCUUGGAGAAAGACUCUGAGGAACUGUUUCAAGAUCUGGAUCAGCUUCAAGAUGAGUGGCUUGAUGGUCUCUGUGAUUUGGACACUGAAGCAGAGCAGUUUGUACCCGACUUCCAGAAUGAUAAUCUUCCUCUCAACGUGAAGAUCAAGGCAGAGCCCAAGAGUCCGAGUUGUCACAAGCCAUGCGCUCAUAUGAAGUUCCCCUCCUCAUCCUCCUCCAUGUCCACGACACCUCACUUCGACUUCAGCAACAGCCACAAGUUCGAGUUUGGCGAGCAGCUGGUGAUUGACGUGCCCCCGAUGAAGCCCAGUGGCCUGUCCAGCCCCCCCACCCCAACCACCAGUGGUACGGGGAGCAGCACGCCCCUGGUCCCCACAACUUCUGAUGAGCGCAGUGACCUGCGGAUCACCACCCCUCUGUCCACUGCAUCCUCUUCUUCCCUGCCCAGCCUGGACUUGAACUUCAACGUGGUCAAGCAGGAGAUGGCACGUUCAUCCCCGCGAUCCUCUUGUGCACUGUCUGCCUGUACUCCCUUCAAGGAACCAGCAUUUCCUUCUGCUAGAGACCUCCAAGCAUAUACCAUGGAGAAGAGAUAUCAUCGUCAGACGUCAGAGCCGUGCUUCCUGUCUUUUCCCAGCGAGCAGCGCUCUCACUUCCAGCGCCAGAACUCAGAGCCCACAUUUGUUCCUUUCAAGCACCAGGGCCACAUUGGUGGUCAGUUCGAGCAUGGCUACGCGGGUUUCCCGAUCAAGCAAGAGCCGCGCGACUUCUAUGAAGCAGAGGUACCCAAUUCCUGUUGCAUGGGGUUCCAGCGUGGGGAAAUGUACAACCACCAAGGAAAUACUGAGGGAUGUAUUCCUGAACAUACAGCUAGACACUUCUUUGAUGAUGCCAGUGUUCCUGAGAAGAUCCCUGAAGGUGACACCAAGCCAGAGGCAUUCCGUGAUGGGCCACCCUACCAGCGCCGUGGCUCCUUGCAGCUCUGGCAGUUUCUGGUCACGCUCCUUGAAGACCCGGCCAACGGGGGCUUCAUUGCCUGGACAGGCCACGGACUGGAAUUCAAGCUGAUUGAACCUGAAGAGGUGGCCCGACGAUGGGGCAUCCAAAAGAACCGACCUGCCAUGAACUACGACAAACUCUCCCGUUCCUUGCGCUACUAUUACGAGAAGGGCAUCAUGCAGAAGGUGGCUGGCGAGCGCUAUGUCUACAAGUUUGUCUGUGACCCCGAGGCGCUCUUUAUGAUGGCGUUCCCGGAGGGCCUGCGUGCUGCUCCGGCCCUCACCACACCUGGCCCCACCCUGCCUCCACCCGCCUCGGACCGCAGUGUGCCAGCCAGCCAGCCUGUCAAAAUCAAGGAGGAACCACCCAUCCACAUGCAGGAACACCAGGACAUGUAUGUGCCAGACAUGGUCCCAGCCUGCCCCCCGCUCCAACACCAUUUGGAGGGCUCUGCCUAUUGAGAUUUGGAGGUUGGAGUUGCGACAACACCCUCCCCCUCAAAAAAAAAGACAUCGUUAGUGUACGCUUGUGUGUCUGUGAUUGCUUCUGCAAGUACCAGCCUAAGUUUGUUUCGUAAGCAGUUUGUAUCUAUAGGGUUUUCUUGGUUGUAAUAUUCUUUGUUUUUUGUGCACUUUCAAGUUUCCCUGUGGGGCAGAAGGAAGGAUGACAUUUGAAACAUGUAAGGUUUUGGGUAGUGAAUGGGACAGGAAUAUGUGAUGCAUUUUGAACACCAAAGCUAAAGAUGAACAAUGUUUUACGUUGGUUUUUGGAUUCUUCAAUGUGAUUAUUGGAUUGACGAAAGCAUUUUAUAAUAGGUCAAAAGAUAUUUUCAGUUGAUUUUAGUGUACACGUCUCUCAUUUGCAUCAACAGUACAACAGUUUUUCUGUCGUUUUUGUUCUUCAGAGAAAGAUUUUUUGGGUUUUUAACUUUUUCAGCCCUGCAAUUUUUAUGGACAAUCUUUGCUGAAAGAUCAGUGUUGAAAGAUCACUUUUUUUCAAUCCUACAAAAAAUAAUACAGGAUAUUUUAUACAUGUUUAUACUUUGAAUUAUACUGUCCGCCAUUUUGUAGCAGAAAACAUGAAUGUGAAAUUUUGGAUAUUUUCUAGGGCAUGGUGGAUAAAGAUACUAAUUUUGACCUUUUAGAAGAGAUACAUACAAGUUGUCAGAAUUUUUUGUUGUUUUGAAGGAAGUGUGAUCAGUGUCAUUCAGAAGAUCAGGGGAUAUUCAGCGUGGUAAAAAAAAAAAGAAACAAACGAAAGACAAACACCUCUUAAAAAGGACUUUGGCUAUGUCUAAAAGUUAAUGGCUAUGGCUGUAGACACCGCUGUUUAGCCACUCCCAACAAAUGUGUUACUUCCACCUUUAGCCAGCUGGCGUGGCCUUUAGAUUGGUCAUUCGUGUUUGAAUCUCUGCCAAUCAGAGCAUUUUGUUCCUCUUAGCAGACUUUGGGACUAACAGAGUGGUUAUUGGUGUUGCUUUUUUCAUUUUUUCAGUUGAUCAUUUGAUCUGAAAGAGUUCAUUGUCAGCAGUUAUUAAAUUGUUUUAUUUACAAGUAAAAGUACUAUAAACAGAGUAUAGCUUAACAUUAUUUCUUACUUCUCUUUGGUUUACAGGAAAAGGACUAGAUUUUUAGUUCAGGAGUAUUGGAAAUGGAGAAUUCAGAUGUCUUUAAAUUUGGAGUUUAAAGGAUUCUAACACUGUAAAAAUUAAAAUUUGAAAAUCGGUUUCCGCGAUUUAGUUUUUUUAUAAGGCAGAAAAGGGAGAUGUUAGAUCUUUAAAAUAGAGAGUACUUGUAGAUUAUCCAGGUGGCAGGUCACCAAGUACUUCUUCACUGGAUGAUUGUGGAAAGGGUGUGGUGGCCCUGGAAUGUGUAUAAAUAAAAUCAAGUUUUUGUACAGAAUCACUUAGAAGUUCUUUUUUAUUCAAAAUGGGUGAUUCGCUUUUGGGUUACUGAUGCAGUCUUCUACAAUUACAUACCUGUAGAUCGGGAAAUAUACAUACUGUAAGAAAAAUAAAAAGGUGUUUUUUCAUGCUCACUGUAAAGUUGAAACCCCCUUCUUUCUUCAAUAUAUUUUUGUCACUGAAAUUUUAAACAAUUACAAAGAAUGUAGACUAUAAAGAGAUAAUUAAACAACUAAUUUUUUUAUUAUGAAGAGAUCAAAAAAUUAUGAAAGGUCAGAAAAUCGGAGAAAAGUAGUUGGCAGGUAUAAGUGUGUUAUUAACUUGUACAAUAUAUUAAAGAUGAUAUUUUGAAGUAUGAUCAACGGUAGUGUUUUACAGUGUGAACAACAAUGGUAUGUGAACCAGUGUUCUUUGGUUGCAACUUUAGUGUGUGCCUAGUGCACCAGCUUCCCAUAUGCUGCAUUGUGUAUGCCUGUAAAUAGGCAGGAAACCAGUUGUGCUAUUGUCACUGUGUAGGACUUUGACUGGCACCCCUGCUUUGUGAAUGAAAAAUAUUGCUUUCUCCUGGAAACUUGACAUUUCAUUGUAUUUUAUGAUGCUGGCUGUGUGUUGUACAUGUUGACCUUCAAAGAGUAAGGCAGACGCUGGUAUUUUACUAUUUUCCACAUUAAAAUAUGAAAUUCCACAAAGCAGUGUAACAUCUUACUUCCUUGUGGCCCUUAGAAAUAAGAAGACACAAAUAGAGUUCUGGUAAGUCCAUUUUGAAAUGAGUCCAAUAAAUGUGGAAUGUCAAAAGCAUAUCAGACUCCUGUCAGCCUUCUUGGUCAUGUUCCAAGGAGCGUCAACAGUUCACAAUAUUGUUUAUUGUAUUACGCACUGUGGUACCAGCAUGUGGACAGGUUAUUUCACCACAAACCCCAUGAACUAUGAUGUGAUAAAAAAUCUAGAUGACUUGACCUGAUGAAACGAGUCUUCGUAAUCGGUCUCACAGCCUGUCCUUUUGCUCCAGAUUUGUGACAUGUUUCCAUUGUAAGUUAAAACUGUAGAAUUAACAUUGGCAAAAACUUAUGUAUUUUGACAGAAUAUUGUAAUUUAUGUCGUGAAUGCUGUCCACAUUUAUCAGUGAAACUGUUUUGUCCAGCUGUGAUGUUGUCACACGAUAAAUUAUACAUGUUUGUAAUCCGUUUGUGAAGUAGUGACAAAUAAUAGCUUAUUAUCCCAAUGCGUAUACAGCAACAAAUCAAUGUUACAUUACCCAUGUUGUCCCAGUGUAUGUGAGAAUUAGGUUUUCUGGAGAGUGAUGUGGAGGUAUUUUAAAUUUCUUGUACCGAAUUUUACAAUAUUUUUCAGAUGCGUCCUUUGAAACCUUCCAUCCAUUUCCUUUUGGUUGUAAUGAUAAAGAACUCCAAACUCUCUUUAAAGUUUUGGUCAAAACAAUUUUUUUUUUUUAAUGUGUGGUGUACCUCUGGCAUUAUUAAACAUUCUGGCAUUUCCAUGUCAGCAAAGAAUGGUUGUUCCUCUUCUUGGGAAAAAAAGUAUUUAUAAAAUACUGGGAAUUUCAAAGUGUUGUACAGAGUCCAACUAAAUAUUUUAGAGUAAAUGUUGACCAUUUGUAAUUUUUUCCAACUUUGAAUCAAAGGAAACUGAAUGUAGAAAGUAAUACUCAUCUUAGUCCUGAAUCCUCCAAUUUGAAUGUGAUGUUGCACAUACCCUGGGGGUGACUAACCCACAAAAGGUUUUCCUGCACCACUUGGUUAUUUCAAGAUGGCAGAGAGGUGACCAUUUGCAUAUUGUGGUCGUGUCUGAAUCAUUUGUCCACUGCUCGACAUUAUGCACCAGUCUACAGCUGUGGCUAAAACCACUUCCCAUAGAGUCGUGUGUAAUGCCAUCCUCGGCUAGUUCAGACAUGACCAACGAUAUGAGAACAAUUCAAACGUAAUAUUUUUUACACCUGCAAGUAUAUAGAGAGUAAUAACACGCUGGAAUGCAGCCAGUCAGAGCCAUGUGUAGAGAGUUGUGACAAGUGUCAUCAUUGUUAGAAACAAACUGACAGGUGUAUGCACCAGUGCACCCAGACAGGUGGUUUACAAUAGCCGAACGCUAUACUCUAUACAGAAUAAACAGCCCCAUUUUGUCUCCAAAAUCUGAAGCUGGUGCUAUUUUCUCUCCUUAUACAUGUAUACAGCUAGCCUCAGCCUUCUGUGAACUGUAGAUUUAGUGGCUCUACCACUGUAGCACAUGCCAUAUGGGGUCUGUUGGUUUCACAUGGAUUCAUAUCUCAAUCAGUAAUCCGUUAUUGGUUCACUGACACCAGAACCCACCUAAUGGAUGGAGCGAACUUAUGUUGGGAUCACUGAUGGGGAUAGAGCUUUGUGACACCAGGAAUUGUUCUCUGUUUAGGUUGGGGUUAGACAGAUGUUUAUUUUGACUGAGUUGAAAUCCAGCUUGGGUAUAUUGAAGGUUAUGAAAGAUUGAGUUGAUUUUGAUAAUACUUUGUGACCUUCAGGGUGGCUUUGAAUAUUCGGAAUAUCGACAGGACAAAUGAUUCUGAGAAUUCUACAGAUACAUGUACAUAUAGUGAUGCAGAUGUGAAAUACACGUCCCCAGAUGCUAGCUUACCAGUGAACUGCCGUUUGCAACUGCAGAGGGUUAUUUAGUGGAUGGGAAUCCAAUUGAAUUGAUUAGUGAUUAGUGGUUAGUACAAUAACUUCCAAAAAUUCGCCCCAAAAAGUAAUGUUCAACGGAAGAACAUAAUAUGAGAGUAUCUGUAUGGCUGUGCUAACCUUGUUGCUAUAGUGUUCAAGAUUUAUCUCGUCUCCAUCUCAACAUAGCCAUAUUGCAAGUUGUGACCAGUUUCCUCUGUGUUUUGGAUUUAACUAAGCGCUCUUCAGUUUACUCAGAUAUGUUGUUUCAAAUAAAGAUACAUUUUUGUACAUAUUAAAAACAGAAA